rnacentral:rRNA from 1 species
GAUGAACGCUGGCGGCGUGCUUAACACAUGCAAGUCGAACGAAGCACUCUAUUUGAUUUUCUUCGGAAAUGAAGAUUUUGUGACUGAGUGGCGGACGGGUGAGUAACGCGUGGGUAACCUGCCUUAUACCGGGGGAUAACAGCCAGAAAUGGCUGCUAAUACCGCAUAAGCGCACAGAACCGCAUGGUUCGGUGUGAAAAACUCCGGUGGUAUAAGAUGGACCCGCGUUGGAUUAGCUAGUUGGCAGGGCAGCGGCCUACCAAGGCGACGAUCCAUAGCCGGCCUGAGAGGGUGAAUGGCCACAUUGGGACUGAGACACGGCCCAGACUCCUACGGGAGGCAGCAGUGGGGAAUAUUGCACAAUGGGGGAAACCCUGAUGCAGCGACGCCGCGUGAAGGAAGAAGUAUCUCGGUAUGUAAACUUCUAUCAGCAGGGAAGAUAAUGACGGUACCUGACUAAGAAGCCCCGGCUAACUACGUGCCAGCAGCCGCGGUAAUACGUAGGGGGCAAGCGUUAUCCGGAUUUACUGGGUGUAAAGGGAGCGUAGACGGCGCAGCAAGUCUGAUGUGAAAGGCAGGGGCUUAACCCCUGGACUGCAUUGGAAACUGCUGUGCUUGAGUGCCGGAGGGGUAAGCGGAAUUCCUAGUGUAGCGGUGAAAUGCGUAGACAUUAGGAGGAACACCAGUGGCGAAGGCGGCUUACUGGACGGUAACUGACGUUGAGGCUCGAAAGCGUGGGGAGCAAACAGGAUUAGA